GAACUCAAAGAAUGCGCCUGAGGCAAUCUGGGGCGUGGUUUCGUGUGACGCUAUCAGGGGGCGGGGCUUUGGUUUAGUCAAACUCCUUCAUCUUCGUGGUCAGAAAGCAGUGGGAAGGUUGUAAGAAUGUUCGUGUUGCGAGGGAGAAAGUCUAAAGAGUGGCUUUCACUUUGCUCUUCUUCUUGGGUCACAUUCUCUGAGAGAAGUUAACUGCCAUGUGUUGAGGACACUCAAGCAACCUAUAGGGGAGGACCACUAAUGAGGAGUUGAAGCUUCUUGCAAACAGCCAGUAAGAAACUGAGGCCUCUGUCAUGUAAAGGAACUAUCUUGGAAGUGGAUCCCCCAGCCCCAGUCAGGCCUUCAGAUGAAUGUAGCCCUGCUGACGUUUUGACCACAACUUCAUGGGACACCCUGAAACAGAACCCUGCAGCUAUACCACUUCUGAAUUUCUCAUCUAUAGAAACUAUAAGAUCCCAUCCUUCCCAGAAUGCCACCAUGAUCUGUUGGACUUAUUAUGGCUAAAGACACAUUUGACAUCGACUUAUGUAUACUUGCCUUAAUCCUGGUCCUGCCAGCCUGUGUUCUAGCCAGUCAUUCCCUUGCAUUUGAAGUGGAACCUCCCUUUUGGUGCUGUUAUAUCCCCAUUUUACAGAUGAAGACACUGAGGCACAGGGAUAUUAAAGGAACUUGCCCACGGUCACACACUUGGUAGGUUGUGGAACCAGUACAGGCAGGUGAUAAGAGAGAGGAAGAAAAGAAGACAGGUUGAUAGGCAGGACCAGGGCCUGUCCUCAGGGAAGCUUGCUCCAGAGAGGCGGCCACAUUCCAAAGCUGAGACCCGAAGGUGGAAAUAGAGGCACUAAACAAAAGUUUAUAGGAAGAAAGAACAAAUGCCAGGCCUCCAAAAUGGGAACAAACUUGGAUGGAAUGGCUGCCAGUCUAGCUGCUACCUGGGACUAGGAGAAUGAGGAUGGCGAGUUAGUGAGCUAGAAGGAGCCUGCAUUACUAAGGUCUUAAUGGAACAAAAAGUCCACACACGUGGUCUUGAACUACUGACCUCAAGAGUUCAAUUAUGAAUGAAGCCAAAUUAUCUUCCAUGUUGUUUUGUUUUGUUGUCACAUACCACAAA